CAGAUGUUAGUCAGGGCUAUGCAGCUGGAAGAGCCUUCUAACCUCAGGGUCUCAUGAGAAGAAAAUUUGAGCAUACUGCCUCUGAGUCUGGAUAAGUUUCGCUAUCUAUUACCGAUGGUGGGACAGCCACAGCCCAGUCUGGACCUGAGCUCAAGAGAGGUAAGAGGAUUCUCCCCAAACCACAACCAGUAUGGAGGAAGAACUGGGAAGAAAUCCCACCCUAUCUCCUGCUGCUUCCCCACCACACCUUCUACAUCUGGAAAUGAAACACAGGAAGCAUUUGUUUCUGUUCAGUUCCAUCCAUACAUGUCUUGAGCACCUAACAGGAGGCAAGCUGCAUGGAAGGGUGCAAAGACAAAGUCAUACACAACUCCUUCAGGAGCUCCUAAUUUGGGGAUCUUCCCAACCCAAGGAUCAACCCACGUGUCUUAUGUCUCCUGCACUAGCAGUCAGCUCUUUACCACUGAAAAGAAAAAAGAAAGAAAGUGAAGUCGCUCAGUCGUGUCCGACUCUGCAACCCCAAGGACUGUAGCCUACCAGGCUCCUCCCUCCAUGGGAUUCUCCAGGCAAGAGUACUGGAGUGGGUUG